GAAAAAAGGUUUUAGAUGUUUAUGGAUAUGCAAAUAGGUGAUUUCCCUGUGCAUUAUAGUUCUUUUUAACAUGAAUUCAAUUUUGUGUUAAUUUCUCAUCUAUAUUGUUGACUCUGGUGCAUGUUAAAGAUCAAGGAAAAUGAUGUAUUUAGUGGUGUUUUCUUUUAACAUGGAUUUUUUUAUAACAUCAUCGUUUUGUUUAAUUUUUUUAAAAAAGUAAUUUUAAUUUAGGGAGCUUUAUAACCCUCGCUAUCUAAUAUAGUUUUUUAGUCUAUCAGUGGUGUGGCAUGCCACAUUAGCUUCCGUUGAAGGAACUUGACGGCAGAGACUAAAAGUAUGGACUAAAAAUUUUAGGAGGAUCACUAUUUGAAUAAAAAAUUUAUAAGGAUUAAAACUAAAGUUUAAGUUAUUUAUAGAGACGAAAAAUAUAUUUAAUCCUUAAAUAUAUAAAUGUUGAUGGGAGAAGUUCCAAUUCUAGAGGUCAAAGGUGCCUUCUCUAUUCGCCAUCAAAAUUGUUGUUCUCUCUCAUGUAGUAGUCUUCUCUUCAAAAUUUGAUAUUUUUGGUUUCACUCUAAGCCUUUUCUUGAAAAGUAGUGUUAGGAUUUCAAUUUUAUGUAGUGAUCGAUAAAAAAUUGACUGAAAAUGAAUUUUUGCAUUUCAUACAAACUCAAUGCAUUUUAAGCGAAUACACUUUCCCUUGACACUUAGAAAUACAAUGCGUCUUAAUGGAAGAUAAUGUGUUCCCAAAUUGGGCGUUCCUAAUAUAUUGGGCUUGACUCAUGUUGGUCUCCCUAAAUUUUGUUUUGGGUCUGAAUUUUUCCAAAAUUCUAUGUUCACCUCCCUAUAUUUGUUAGAUUUGUCAUGACAUCUUGACUUUUAGUCGUACUUUUAUAUCAUUCACAAAAUCCUAGAUAACAAAAAUAAAGAUGAAAAGGAACAUGUUUAUUAAAAAAUUACAUUUAAUUAACAAUUUUCAUCAAGCCUAAUAAUGAGCCUUAUUAGACUCAAAAGUAGUGAAAAUAUAUACCGAAAUCUAUAAGUGUAAUAAAAAGUGAUAAAAAAUACCCUAUAUGUGGCAGCGAGUCAUCAUAACUCCAAAUUUAAAAUGUUGUUUGUUCUCAUAUAUGGAGAAUGAUUUUUUUUUCAAAACUCGACGGUCAUGCAAAUGCCUCUUCACUCAUUACCUUUAUCUAGUAUGAAUCUUUAUUCUAUUCUUGAAGUCGUUAAUUAUAGUAUUUCUUUGGAAAUGACUUCCUUUAGCCUUGGCACAAACAUUAAUUUUCACUUUAAACUCACAUCCACUAAAGUAUUUACAUGGUAAUCAGAAGUAAUGAACUCUAUGCAAUGCAUAAUAAAGUAUAACAAAAAAUAGAAAUAUAUGAAAUUAAUUUAUAACAAAAUUCCAAUAUAAUGGAUUUCCUCUUAAUUAGCGCUUGUUUAAUGUCUUGUGAUUGACGGUCCACUUUUUCAAUCAUUUAGCAAGGUGAAAUAUUUAAUUAUUCUCACUUGUAUUCCUUCAUGAAAGUUUUUAAGCCUUUGCCAAUUGAUUUUAAAGGUGUAUCCCUCAUUUUCAAGUUCAAACUACAAAGUUCCAUACAUGAAAGCUUUUGCAAGGUUGAACAGAUGAGACCAUCUAGACUUUAACUUUCAAAUAGAUAGUUUUAACAUAUAACUAAAUAAGAAAAUUGUCAUACCCCAAAAAUUUGCCAUAUCCUUUCAUUUUUAUAUGACUUAUUGCGAUGU
rnacentral:lncRNA from 1 species